rnacentral:rRNA from 1 species
AACGUAGGAGACAAACGUUAUCCGGAGUUACUGGGCGUAAAGGGCGUGUAGGUGGUUUCGUAAGUCUGGCGUGAAAUUUUUCGGCUUAACCGGGAAAGGUCGACGGAUACUGCGGAGCUAGAGGACGGUAGAGGCGUGUGGAAUUCCGGGUGUAGUGGUGAAAUGCGUAGAGAUCCGGAGGAACACCAGUGGCGAAGGCGACACGCUGGGCCGUACCUGACACUGAUGCGCGACAGCAUGGGGAGCAAACAGG